rnacentral:lncRNA from 1 species
GGCACUCGGCAGAUUGAAUUCAAUAGAUGUUGUGUCAGAUUUGUUUUCAGUUUCUAUACCAUUUUCCUAUUUCUUAUUUGUUGUGCCUUGUUUAGUUCCAAAAUAUUUUGCAAAAUGGACUCUAGCACUUUCAUUUGUAUUUGACAAAUAUUGUCCAAUCAUGGACUAAUUAGGUUCAAAAGAUUCAUCUCGUCAAUUUCGACCAAACUGUGUAUUUAGUUUUUAUUUUUGUCUAUAUUUAAUACUUCAUUUAUGUGUCUAAAGAUUCGAUGUGACGGAAAUCUGAAAAAUUUUGCAAAAAUUUUUGGGAACUAAACAAAACACUAAAAAUUUUUCUCCUUCCAACUAAAUAAGUCCCGGCCCAACGUCUGUCCUUCCCAACAGCGGCAAAAGUCAUGUGUGCAGAGGAACCUGUCAAGGCAUCGCCGGUGGUCAUGCGUGAGACAGUUAAUAUAGUACUAGCCAUUUGCACAGCAACAAGCUAAAGUCAAGUUUUUCUUUUCUAUAAAGGCCUGGUUUAGUUCCAAAUUUUUUAAGAAUCUCAUACAUGAAGCAUUAAAUAUAGAUAAAAAAUAAUUAAUUAUAUGAUUUUCCUAUAAUUUGCAAGAAAUUUUUUUUAAGCUUAGUUAAUUCGUAGUUGGACAAUAAUUACUAAAUAUAAAAAUAAUACAAUAUCGCCAACAAACAAGGCCAGGUGGAGCUUUGCUUGGCUAUGGGCCGCAGCCCAGGAGGAGAGGGGGGAGGGAGAUGGGCCACGGCCGAGUUUGGCUUAAGAAGGAAAAAUGACCGGGCUGAAAAGAGGGGGAAAGGAAAGGGAAUCUUGGGCCGAGUUCUCAAGCAGAAUUUGUCCUAUAGGCCCAGGUCUUGUUUAGUUGCAAAAAAAAAAAAAUACAAAAUACAUACUGUAGCACUUUCAUUUGUAUUUGACAAAUAUUGUCCAACCAUAGAUUAACAAGACUUAAAAGAUUCGUCUCACAAAUCAUAGGUAAAUUAUGCAAUUAGUUAUUUUUUAUCUAUAUUUAAUGCUUUAUGCAUGUGCUGCAAGAUACGAUGUGACGGAGAAUCUUCAAUAAAUUUUGCAAAAAUUUUUAGGAAGUAAACAAGACCUUGGACAGGUUUUGAAGAUUUUAUAGUUUUCCAAAUCUUGUUAUCAAACAUAUUUGUAAACCUAUUUUUUAAUUCUUUUAAAAUUUAUUUUGAAAACAAUUUUAAGAAAAUUUUGAAGGUUAAAAUAAACUCUUUUCCAAACGCUUUUGCAAUUUAAUUUUGGACCUUAUUUUCAACACAUUUACUAUUUGAGAAAUUGUUUUAAAACUAUUUUUAUAUCUCUCUUGAAAUCUUUUUAAACUCUUCUUCAACAUAAUUUAAAAAAAUACAUUUCAAAGAAUUUUUGAAACAAAACUUGGACUCAUUUUUAGAACUAGAGUUUAAAGUAAACUUUUGAAACCUUACUUUUAGAAAAUAGAGAAAAAAUAUUUGUGGAUUAAAUAAAUUUUAUAAUUCAUUUUUCACUCAAAAAAUUAAUGCAAUACUCAUGAAUGCAACCUCCCAAGGAAAAAAUAAUUAGGAAGAUUUUUAUAAACCCAUUUAUUUAUCCAAAUGACAACAAACUAACUAAAUCUUGGAUGAUUUGGGAAAAUUAUUAAAUCAUUUAUUUGACUUAGUGUUUUCUAUUCACAUUCCAACAUAGAAUUUAGGGUGUGACCAGAGUGAAAUGCAUGAUUUUAAUUUAUAUUUUUAAUAAAAUAAAAAAGAGAGUAAAUACAAUAUCCAACAAAUAUUAGAGUUUUAGCUUAACUCGGGGAUAGGAAGUCUGCAACAAAUAAGAAGAUUAAAUUCGGAAAACCAAAAUAUAAGAUUCAUGCAUGGCACUAUAAGAAACAUGCUACGCCAAGAGCCACCAUGGUUAAAGGUGCCUUGCUUUUUAAAAAGGUUAUGGAUAU